rnacentral:rRNA from 1 species
CAGUAGCCGCGGGAAUACGCAGGGUGCAAGCGUUACUCGGAAUUACUGGGCGUAAAGCGUGCGUAGGUGGUGGUUUAAGUCCGUUGUGAAAGCCCUGGGCUCAACCUGGGAAUUGCAGUGGAUACUGGGUCACUAGAGUGUGGUAGAGGAUAGUGGAAUUUCCGGUGUAGCAGUGAAAUGCGUAGAGAUCGGAAGGAACAUCUGUGGCGAAGGCGACUAUCUGGGCCAACACUGACACUGAGGCACGAAAGCGUGGGGAGCAAACAGGAUUAGAUACCCCUGUAGUCCCUGUCUCUUAUAC